rnacentral:rRNA from 1 species
GGUACACGAGUGGCGAACGGGUGAGUAACACGUGGGUAAUCUGCCCUGCACUUCGGGAUAAGCCUGGGAAACUGGGUCUAAUACCGGAUAUGAACUCCUGCCGCAUGGUGGGGGUUGGAAAGUUUUUCGGUGCAGGAUGAGCCCGCGGCCUAUCAGCUUGUUGGUGGGGUAAUGGCCUACCAAGGCGACGACGGGUAGCCGGCCUGAGAGGGUGAUCGGCCACACUGGGACUGAGACACGGCCCAGACUCCUACGGGAGGCAGCAGUGGGGAAUAUUGCACAAUGGGCGAAAGCCUGAUGCAGCGACGCCGCGUGGGGGAUGACGGUCUUCGGAUUGUAAACCCCUUUCAGUAGGGACGAAGCGCAAGUGACGGUACCUGCAGAAGAAGCACCGGCUAACUACGUGCCA